GUGAGUCUUAGCUUCUCUCUGCAUCUGUGAGGUCAUCUCCCUUUCUGUAGAGCAUAUGAUCUUUACUGAUGCACCUGCAUCUGGCUCAGACUUAGUCACCCAGCCCUGAAAUUAUAUCAUAUCACAGGUCAUUCUCUGAGUCUCUUAAUGUGAGGCCUUGAGAGAAAAAUCAACAUGCCUUCUGUUGGAUGAAGACCAAUCAGCAAGAUGGUGGUGAUUGUGAGUCGUUGCAAGGAUCAAGUGAGUUGAAAUCCGUAAGGUGCUUGGGAGAAUGCCUGGCGCCUGGAAGCACUGUAUAUUCCAAAAAAGGAGAUAUAAACAUGACCAUAAAAGACAUGAAAAGAUGUUUAACCCCAUUAGUCAUCGUGGAAAUGCAAAUGAAAACCACCAUACAGACACUAGAGUGGUUUAAAUUUGAAUGACUUCCAACACCAAAUGCCAGACAGGACAUAGAGCAACUGGAUGUCUCAUGCUCACAGGCAGAAGGGAAAACUACUGUGUGUGACAGGAAGAUGGACUUACCCAACCUUCAGCAUUCUCAAUCUCUUGUCUAUUAACAUGGUAAUUGCCUUUAAUGACUUUGUUCUCCUCGGUGUAAUCAGACAGGAAACUUUAGAGGGAAAAUGCAUAAAUUAUUCUAACCCCUGCCAGGGAAAGAAUCCAGACUUUAAUCAACUUCUGUGCAUUUUAUUCUUCAUAUUAAAAAAGCUUUCUUUACA
rnacentral:lncRNA from 1 species